rnacentral:rRNA from 1 species
GCCUAAAGGGGCUGUAGCCGGAUGCGUACAUCCUUUGUGAAAUUGCCGGGCUUAACCCGGUAGCGCGCAGAGGACACGGCGCAUCUUGGGAAUGGGAGAGGUUAGAGGUAUUCGUAGGGGACCGGUAAAAUGGUAUAAUCCUACGAGGACCGCCGAUAGCGAAAGCAUCUAACUAGAACAUGUCCGACGGUGAGGGACGAAAGCCAGGGGAGCGAACCGGAUUAGAUACCCGAGUAGUCCUGGCCGUAAACGCUGCGAGCUAGGUGUUGCGCCUCCUAUGUGGAGGUGCAGUAUCGAAGCGAAGGCAAUAAGCUCGCCGCCUGGGGAGUACGGUCGCAAGGCUGAAACUUAAAGGAAUUGGCGGGGGCGCACCACAAGGGGUGCGGCGUGCGGUUUAAUCGAACUCAACACCGAGAAUCUCACUAGAGGCGACGGCAAGAUGAUGGUCAGUCUGAAGGGCUUACCGGAUGAGCCGAGAGAUGCUGCAUGGCCGCCGCCAGCUCGUGUCGUAAGAUGUCCAGCUAAGCCUGGUAACGAGCGAGACCUGUAUCAUUACUUGCAAACGGCUCUUUUUAGAGGACCGCGCACAGUAAUGAGACUGCCUUGGUAACAAGGAGGAAGGUGCAGGCUACGGUAGGUCUGUAUGGCCCGAAUCUUCUAGGCUACACGCGCGCAACAAUGGUCGUGACAAUGGGCUGCAACACCGAAAGGUGAAGCUAAUCCUCGAAACGCGAUCUCAGUCCAGAUUGAGGUUUGUAACUCAGCCUCAUGACGUCGGAAUCCCUAGUAAUCAGAAGUUAUCAGCUUCUGGUGAAUAUGUCCCUGCGCCUUGCACCCACCGCCCGU